GCCAAUGUGAUGCAGUGGUUUGAGUGUUGGACUAUGAUUCUGGAGACCAGGGUUUGAAUCCCUGCUCAGGCA
rnacentral:tRNA from 1 species